CCCCUAAGGCGAGGCCGAAAGGCGUAGUCGAUGGGAAACAGGUUAAUAUUCCUGUACUUGGUGUUACUGCGAAGGGGGGACGGAGAAGGCUAUGUUAGCCGGGCGACGGUUGUCCCGGUUUAAGCAUGUAGGCUGAUUGUCCAGGCAAAUCCGGAUAAUCAAGGCUGAGGUGUGAUGACGAGGCACUACGGUGCUGAAGUAACAAAUGCCCUGCUUCCAGGAAAAGCCUCUAAGCAUCAGGUAACAUCAAAUCGUACCCCAAA
rnacentral:rRNA from 1 species